AAACGGCCUAAGUAAAGGAAAGAGUAUCACAUGGAACUGCCCUGUAUUAGAAAGCCCCUUACAUCCUAAACAGUUCUCUAUAAAGAGUUAAAAAUAUUCACAUUUGUUUUCUUUUUCAAUCAUAAGAAUAUCUGUUUUCUCUAGACUUGUGAACAGUGGGUUUUUAAUAUAUAUUGCAGAUCUUUGCAGAACUCUGAUCCCAUCAUGUGAUACUGGACCAGUACUAUCUGUAAAACACUUUUUCAAAAGUUUCAGUGAAUAAGACAAUCUGAUUUCUCACACCAUUUUAAGUCAUUUGCUGUUCAAGCCUGAAUUUUGUGCAAAUGCUGCAGUUUUUUUGCAACUAACAUGUGAUGAAGCACUACUAAAAAGAGCAGGACGUAAUUAGGUACAAAAUUGUACUCCUGUAGACCUGAUAAAAUUUUGGAUUAAACCUUAUUCAACCUGCACAAGUGCCCCUUUCUGUUGUUGAGGUUAUUCUCAUGCAGAACUUGUUCCUCAAGCAUUAGGUGCUUUUCCUUAGGCAACACCAUUGUCUCAUUGAGCUAAAAAUUGCCUCCUCCUAGAGGAACAUUCUCCACAGUUGAGGACCACCUCUGCAAUGGAUAAAAGAGGGUACAAGUUGAAACAGUGGUUAAGACCCAAGGCAUAGAUUCUUAGUAGUUUAUGAUUUAUCUUUUGACCUAUUUAAUAUUUUGGAUUGCUCCCUUGUAUCUAGAGAAAAAUUACAUUCUUCAACUGGAUAGCAGUGUAAAUUGUAUACAAGAACCACAGAAAGACAUAGUACAGACUUGGGUGAGAAAAAGAGCUCCAUCGGCUAAUCCUUCUAGGCUGAUCCUUUGGGCUUAUUUUCCUUCCUAAUUGGAUAAGGGGCUGUUAAGACUUAGGCUGUGAUCCACCAGUGGGUCUAACAGUCUGAUGUGCUGGUCAAUUAUGCUACAUAGUCUUAAAUCCAUGUACGUCACCUUAAUUUUUUGUCCAAGCAAUUUUUUGUCCAAGCAACAGCAAAUUAGUUUAAGCUAUUGUAAAUUCACUGAUGAUCUUGAAAUUUGUAUCUACCAGUUGCUGCUAUUUUUCUCUACUUUGAAUAGAAUACUAUCAAUGCAGUUUUAUUCAGAGUUACUCUAGUGUUAAGCCUAAUGAUUUCAGUAGGCUUAAUAAUAGAGUAAUUCUGCUUAGGACUGCACUGUGUUAUAUCUGUCUUAAUAUGCUAUUUUAUAUAGAACCUUGUUCACAUGCAGCCCUGAAUUACUAGUGUUUUCUUACCAAAACAUUGAACUAAAGACCUGUUCCAAAUGUGGAAAUAAUGGCUUAUCUUUCAUUGUAAUGAAAGAGAACUUUAUUAUAUUGUAGUUAGAUUACAGUUCUUUUAAUGUGAGUUGAAUGAUUUAGAAGAUAACUAUAGCAUAUUGUUAAAUUUGCUCAUUCUGUUACAACAAUCUUUGGAAGAUAGUUGUCAAUGAAAAACCAGGUAUUCUGGCGCUCUAGUCCUUAAAAUACUAAGACUGCACAUCUCAGCCACAGUACUUAUUUAAACAUUAUAGGUCUUACAUCUGAGUACAGAUGCAUAGAAACAGGUGUUUAGCCUGCUAUCUCUGGGAUGUCAGUAGAAUAUUAUAAUAAUAGUAAAAUGUUCUGCUGUGGUGAUCAGUAUACCACAUCUGAAACACACAUGUACUGGCAUUAAAUUAUUUUUUCCAAAUUAAGUCCAUUUUACUACCCCACCUAAUCUUCCCACGGUUUGUUGUUGCCUUGAAUUCUAAAAUUCACAUUAGCCAGUUGUGCUGAAUAACACUGUAGAUUGAUCUUCCCAUUUUUAUAAUAAUUCAAGUAAUGCUAAAAGAAUGAAACUGAAUAGUUUAAAUAACUAUCAACUGCUCUGCCUGAACCAUAACAGUAGCAUGCAGUAUUGUGACAUUGAUGGCACUGAAUAUAAUACCCUUUUUGAAAAGACCUCUUUGCAAAAGGAAGGUGCACAUAGCUGGUUUAAUUUUCAGUUGUAGAACACAAAAAUAAAGACUGUUGGUUUUGAAAACUUGGCUUUCACUGAAUUUCUCAAAAAAAUUUCCAGAAAUAUUCUCUUAUGGAUUCUUUUAAAAAACUGGGAAGUAAAAUGAAAAGAACACAUAGCUUGGAUUAUUGUGAUAAUUCAUUCUUACUGUAUUAUCAGUGGGUACAUGCUUCUCUGUACAAGAAAUCCUGCUGCUGCUGUUGCCCUGGCUGCAUUUUCCUGUACAACACAAAAGGUCUCUGUUCUCUUCCCACAGGACCUGGGUAGCUCAGUUAAUAGAGUAUCAAACGUGCACAAUGAAUCACCAUCAGAAAUUUUAUGUAUUUAUCAAUGAAUCACCAUCAGAAAUUUUAUGUAUUUAUCAAUGAAUCACCAUCAGAAAUUUUAUGUAUUUAUCCUGUCUUCUCUGGUUCGAGGCUGCUUACAAUAAUAUUGUGACAUUGAUGGCACUGAAUACAAUACCCUAAACAAAAAUCUUAAAUAUCUUUGGCAACUCCCCCCACCCCAAAAAAGCCCCCCUUCUUGCUACUUUACAGUCCCUUUAAAAGGGUAUGCUGAGAAUUUUUUAAAAAACUAUCCUUUGUAUCUGCAAGGGAACUGUGCUGCUUAUGAAUACUUGGAAGGCUUUACUGAAAAGAAGAUGACAGUUGAUACAGUAGAUUUGUUCACUGCCACUUGCCAAGAUUUUCAUACAGACAUGGGAUGAUUCCAAACCUCUAUGUGAUGCCCUGGAAACAAGAUAUGAAGUAUCGAAAGAUAAAGUUAAAGGUACAGGAACCAAGGAUACAAUUACAAUUUUAUGUAGUUUAAUUGGGAGGGGGUGUGGAGUACAUACAAAUCCCACUGCAAAUGACUGAGUUUAA